rnacentral:tRNA from 1 species
AAUGGAAUGCCUGACAAAAGGGUUAUUUUGAUAGAAUAAAUUAUGUGAAACCACUUCCAUUA